UUAUGUAUCAUUACAUGUAGUGGCCAUUCCAUUAAUUGUGUUGCAAAAUGAAGUUUCUGUGAAGAAUUUGUUAGGAAGUAUUCUAGAAGAAUAAGUGAUGUGAAUUAUCACAAUCAACCAAUCAUGGUUGUUCUGCGUUUUUGGAGGAUAUCAGAGUUUGGAGGUAAACCUUGCUUGAUUACGAAAGGAGGUUGUCCAAGAAUGUUCAUCGAUGAAAAUUUCAGUGACAUUAACAGAGACUGCUACAUCUACUUUUUCACCACUGGAAAUAAAGAGACAGCAUCCUCAGAUAAUGAUAAUGUUUCUGAUGAAGACGGUGAUUCUAACUAAGAUUUGCAGCUGUGUGGAUGGGAUCAAGAAAAUUCCUCCUAUGUUAUAUUCUAUCUUGGACUUCCUUUAAUGCUUUGUUUUGCUAAUUUUUUUUAAGCAAUGUGCUAUUCCCGUAUUUGUAAAAUAAAACUCUUAUGUUCAGUUGUUUUUUAUUUUGCUUAUCUGUGUUUUAUUUUUAGUUUGCUUAAUUCGUAAGCUUUCUGUGUAAAAGAAAGCAUUGAAUAUCUUUUUUUUUCAUUGUGCUAUGAUCUAGCACAAGCUAUGGAAUAUCUUUUUUUUUUUAAUGUUAAUAAUGUUUUUAAAUUUCAGAGAACAUAAAGAAUUUUUUA